AUGGGGACGAGGCGUGCCGCCCUCUGCUUCCUUCUGCUCCUCGUGAUCAUCUUACACGGAAACCCUACACUCAUUUCGGCGGACGACGCAGAGGUGUGCAAGUACAGGAAUCCGUACGUGCCCUUCUGCCACGGCUGGAGCUGCAAGGCGGAGUGCUGGAUCGAGGCCAAAAUCUUCAACGCCCGUCUACAGGAGUACAGGUGUAUCAGGGGCGGCAUCAAGGGCACCUGCUACUGCCUCUUCUGCGGGAACCACAUGAGGUUCCUCCACCUCCACUGA
rnacentral:rRNA from 1 species